CUAUCAUUUGCUUGAUCUAUCUGAAUUGUCUGCAUUAUCUGAUCUGCUAGCGGAGCCAUCUGUGAUCAGGCACCGGAGCAAGGCUAGGGGCGUCAGCCUAAUUUCGUUUUGUCAAGCCAACCUAAUGUGCCUCACCACGAGGCACUGGCGGAGGAGAUAACGAAUUAGGUUAGGUAAGGUCUAAUUUGUUGGAGGUUUGCAUGGUGAAGAAGAAUUAUUGGUGAUUAUGGUUGCAAUCGAAGUAUCUAUGUUCGUUCUGUGGCAAGAAUUUGGAUCGAUUUUUGUUUUCUUCAAUAAAGACCAUAAAAUUGAAGGGAAAAAAA